AUGAAAUUAAAUCUUUAUGUAGCGACUUCUAAGCGCAUUGUUUAGGAUUGUGAAGUGAAAAAAAUCAUUUUAUUCACUAAUAGUUGCCAAAUUUAAGUAUUACCAAACCACGCCCCCGUUAACACAUCGGUAGAUAUGCGUCCUUUGAAAAUAUACCUCCUCAACAAUCAAUGA
rnacentral:rRNA from 1 species